UACGUAGGGGGCGAGCGUUGUCCGGAAUUACUGGGCGUAAAGGGUGCGUAGGCGGCCGAUUAAGUCAGAUGUGAAAUACCACGGCUCAACUGUGGGGGUGCAUUUGAAACUGGUUGGCUUGAGUGCAGGAGAGGAAAGUGGAAUUCCUAGUGUAGCGGUGAAAUGCGUAGAGAUUAGGAGGAACACCAGUGGCGAAGGCGACUUUCUGGACUGUAACUGACGCUGAGGCACGAAAGCGUGGGGAGCAAACAGGAUUAGAUACCCUGGUAGUCCACGCCGUAAACGAUGGAUACUAGGUGUAGGGGGUAUCGACCCCCCCUGUGCCGGAGUUAACGCAAUAAGUAUCCCGCCUGGGGAGUACGGCCGCAAGGUUGAA
rnacentral:rRNA from 1 species